GACGAACGCUGGCGGCGUGCCUAAUACAUGCAAGUUGAGCGCUGAAGGUUGGUCCUUGUACCAACUGGAUGAGCAGCGCACGGGUGAGUAACGCGUGGGGAAUCUGCCUUUGAGCGGGGGACAACAUUUGGAAACGAAUGCUAAUACCGCAUAAAAACUUUAAACACAAGUUUUAAGUUUGAAAGAUGCAAUUGCAUCACUCAAAGAUGAUCCCGCGUUGUAUUAGCUAGUUGGUGAGGUAAAGGCUCACCAAGGCGAUGAUACAUAGCCGACCUGAGAGGGUGAUCGGCCACACUGGGACUGAGACACGGCCCAAACUCCUACGGGAGGCAGCAGUAGGGAAUCUUCGGCAAUGGACGAAAGUCUGACCGAGCAACGCCGCGUGAGUGAAGAAGGUUGUCGGAUCGUAAAACUCUGUUGGUAGAGAAGAACGUUGGUGAGAGUGGAAAGCUCAUCAAGUGACGGUAACUACCCAGAAAGGGACGGCUAACUACGUG
rnacentral:rRNA from 1 species